GUACUCCAGAUUGGGACCUCCAUCGCGGUAGGAACGGGCUCUAGUACCCUAUUCUGGUUCGAUAGGGGGGCGGGCGACGCCCCCUUUGCUGCUCGCUUCCCGGACUUGUUUGUCGUUGUUGUGGACCCUUGGGUCUUCGUCGAGAUGGCCCUUAUUGACUUAGGGCGCCUCGCCUUCAGACAACCCUUUGGGCCCCUUGAAGUGAAUGCAUGGUACGAGCUAUUGGACUCCACUGCUCUAUACGAUCCAGACCUCUCGCGACCCCAUGACCUUGUGUCUCGGCGCUUAGAGCCUUCAGGCAACUUCUCCACCAAAUCUCUCUAUAGGGAUAUCGCCCCCUCCCCCACCCCGGAUCCACUCAUAUUGAUCUGGGAGAUCAAACUCCCCCUAAAGAUCCGGAUCUUUCUCUGGCAAUGGAUCCGUGGGCGUGUUCCAUCAGGAGUGGAGGUGCUGAAACGUAAUGGCCCCGGUGAUGGGAUGUGGCCCCUGUGUGGGACGUUUGAGGAUUCUAAUCAUAUCUUCUUCUCCUGCGUCUCUGCUCAAUUCCCGUGGAGUUGCCUCCGCGAAGCGAUCAAUGGUCGUUGGUGCAACACCAACUUCUUGGAUCUCUUCGUCGAGGUUCAGCCUUCGGCCCAGCCUGGCCGCCACAUUAGGUGGCUGGCGAUUGGGGUCCUUGCGUGGACGCUGUGGACUAUCCGCAACAAGCUCGUGAUUCAGCACGUGCCCCUUUGA
rnacentral:rRNA from 1 species